AUGAGUAGUGAGAUGACCAGUCUCAUUGUAACCUUGUUUGUUGUAUGCAUGGUGAACGAAACUGUCAGCACAAACGAAGUUUGGUUUCCUGUAUUCGUUGCCUUUGAAGGAAAUGGUAAGUCUGUUUAUGACGCAUGGCAAAGUCAGUCAGAAUGCAACCCUCUUCCGACGUCUUUUGGAACAGCCGGUUCUCAGCGUCAUCUCAGAAACAGUGUUGUGGAUAACUGGAAUACUGCAAAUAUACGAAUGGUGAAAGUUGAAUUUUUCAAAAAUAACCAAAUUGUCGCAUGGAUAACUUUUAAUGGAAGGAAUACUGAUACAUGUGAUAUGAUGAACUGGUUUAGCAAAUCAAACCUUGUGCAGAGCAGUUUUAAUGAUUUAGGAUCAUGCAGUAGAUUUAACAAGUUUUCGAUUGCUGGUGAUAAUCAACGAAAAUUCUAUGUAAAUCAGAACUACGGAGGAUGCGCUAAUGAUCAAGGGUGGAUGUACGUCCUCGAUAAAAGUAUAGGCUGUCCAUAUGAACGCAUUGGCUCGAUUCCGAUGUUUCUUUAUACAAAGAACUUCACAGAUAGAAACUUGUCACGUAUGAUAAUCAACGAAAAUUCUAUGUAAAUCAGAACUACGGAGGAUGCGCUAAUGAUCAAGGGUGGAUGUACGUCCUCGAUAAAAGUAUAGGCUGUCCAUAUGAACGCAUUGGCUCGAUUCCGAUGUUUCUUUAUACAAAGAACUUCACAGAUAGAAACUUGUCACGUAUGAUAAUCAACGAAAAUUCUAUGUAAAUCAGAACUACGGAGGAUGCGCUAAUGAUCAAGGGUGGAUGUACGUCCUCGAUAAAAGUAUAGGCUGUCCAUAUGAACGCAUUGGCUCGAUUCCGAUGUUUCUUUAUACAAAGAACUUCACAGAUAGAAACUUGUCACGUACCAUGGCACAGCCAGCGGAUAUGAUGGUUAUUUCAGUCCUUGCAGACUUAUAAAGAGCUUAUUAAUAAGAUAAACGUUGUGUUUAAAUGCGUAAGACAACUGACCUAACAUCAAAAAUGUUUGGAACAUGAUAUGUUUUAAUUAAGAUAGUUACAAUUCAAUUGGUUCUUAUUGUGUACUUAUUUUCAUUGACUGGUUAAAGUACCAGAUCUGGCUCCAGUUUAGACAAAUUUGAUUUUACCUGAAUUAUGAUGCUUCAACUGA